GUGUGUGUGUGUGUGUGGUAGUUUGUCCAACAGUGGUGGUACCACACAGAAAUGCUUUGGCUGUACCUCAGGAAUGGCAACGGGGCUCUUUCCGCGUAUUCGUCUACAUUACUGCCGACCUUGUCAGUGUCGGCGCUGGUAGUUGCCAACGUUUACUGCCGUGAUGCUGAAGGGAUCCAUCGGCCCGGUCUAGACUAAAGAGUGACUACCUGCGGUGCCGGGCCUGUAAGCCUGCGGUGCCGGGCCUGUAAGCCGCAGAUCAGGGACCGGGCUGUAGGAGACCAGGGACCGGGUUGUAGGAGACCACAGAUCUGGGACCGGGCUGUGGGAGACCAGGGACCGGGUUGUAGGAGACCACAGAUCAGGGACCGGGCUGUAGGAGACCAGGGACCGGGUUGUAGGAGACCACAGAUCUGGGACCGGGCUGUAGGAGACCAGGGACCGGGUUGUAGGAGACCACAGAUCUGGGACCGGGCUGUGGGGGAGACCAGAUCUGGGACCGGGCCUAAACAUAUUAACCUGUAAAAGAAAAGGGUUCAUAUUGAAACAAAAAGGAU
rnacentral:lncRNA from 1 species